rnacentral:misc_RNA from 1 species
AUUUUCCGCCGUCAAUAUGCCGCCGGAAAAUCACCUCAUCACCACCAUCCUCUUCCUCCUCAUUCUCCUCCCUCUUCCUUCUCCGACCACCGCCAUCACCACCACCGACACCCCCAAAUUCCGGGAAGCUCCAGCAUUCCGCAACGGCAAAAAUUGCCCAAUUUCAAAAUGGCCUGAAAAUCCCUACGAUCCAUCAACUAUCCACAUCGCAAUGACUCUCGAUUACUCCUCCCCUUACCUCCGUGGCUCAAUCGCCGGCGUACUUUCCGUUCUUCAACACUCUACUUGCCCGGAAAACACCUUCUUCCACUUCCUCGCCGUUCGCCGACACUUCAAUCACCUCAACAAAACCAUCACUUCAACUUUCCCAUACCUCAAUUUCAAUCUCUACAACUUUAACCCUAGUUUAGUCCGUCACUUAAUCUCCUCCUCGAUCCGCCGUGCACUUGAUCAACCCUUAAAUUACGCUCGGAUUUACCUCGCCGACUUACUUCCGACCACCGUUAACCGGAUUAUUUACCUCGAUUCCGACCUCAUUGUCGUCGACGACGUCGAUAAACUCUGGAACAUUGAGCUUAACGAUCGGGUUUUAGGUGCCCCGGAAUACUGUCACGCUAAUUUUACUCACUAUUUUACUCACAAAUUUUGGUUCCACCCAAUUUUCCCCAACACAUUCAAAAAUCGAACUCCCUGUUAUUUCAACACCGGAGUUAUGGUUAUCGAUUUGCAGAAAUGGCGAAAUGAUGAUUAUACACAAAAACUUGAACACUGGAUGAGAGUUCAGAAAAGGUACAGAAUCUACGAACUAGGCUCAUUGCCUCCGUUUCUAUUGGUUUUCGCCGGAAAUGUAAAGCAAGUGG